rnacentral:rRNA from 1 species
CGCUCUAAUCUGAGACCCUUCGCCUGUUUUAUCAAAAACAUUGUAUUAAGUUUUAUUUAAUAUAGGAUCUGCUCAAUGAUUGGUGAUUAAAUAGCUGCAGGAUUCUGACUGUGCAAAGGUAGGCAUAAUAAUUAGUCUUUUAAUUGAGGACUUGCAUGAAAGAUUUGAUGACAAAUAAACUAUAUUAUUUAUAUAAUUAAAAUUUUAUUUUUAAGUAAAAAAGCUUAAAUUAUUUAAAGGGACGAUAAAACCCUAUACAAACUUUAUAAAUUAUAAUUUUAAUUUUUUUGGAUUAAUAAAUAUUUUAUUUUUAUAAUUUAUUUUAUUGGGGUGAUAAAAAAAAUUGAUUAACUUUUUUUAAAAUUUAACAUUAUUUAAUGAUUUAUUGAAUUAAAAUUUUCAAUUAAAGGAAAAAGUUACUUUAGGCAUAACAGCGUAAUUAAUUUUUUAAGUUCAAAUCUAAAAAUUAGUUUGCCACCUCGAUGUUGAAUUAAGAUUAAUCUAAGGUGCAAAAUGUUUAAGUUUUAGGUCUGUUCGACCUUUAAAUUCUUACAUGAUCUGAGUUCAACCGGAGGUCUUUACAGGCGUCCCCUCA